AUAUAUGGUUUCAGGGUUGGGAUCUUGACCGUUUACAAGUUUUCAAAAAGUAGGGGGGUAGGGGUGAACCUGGGGACUCCCCAAAUCUUUUAUUUGAUAUGUUUUAUUUUCCCAUUCAAGAAUAUAUAUGGUUUAGCGGUGGGGAUCUCAACUGUUUAAAAGAUAAAAGCACAUUCUCAAAUUGAAAGGGGGUGGGGGUAAGAAUAUAUAUAUGGUUUAGGGAGACUUAAUAACAUGCUCCGCUGGGGUGCAGCUUGAUACGACCGCAGAGGUCGAACCCUGAACAGUUGGGGCAAGUAUGGACACAACAUUCAAGCUUGAUACAGCACUGAAUUUGGAUUGUAAUUAAAUA